ensembl:lncRNA novel transcript
AAGCCAUCCAGCAAAAUGUCGGCGUCUUCUUCGGCCCAAGGGGUCCUUCAGCCAGCUCCAGUUGUGGUGGGAGAGCUGCAGACUGCUCACGGCCUGCCCGGCCCCUGUGUCGACGGCCCCUCCCUAACCAUCCGGGCAUUCUUUGGAGGCCAGGCCCCUGGUGCUCUCAGGAUUGUUUUAAGACUGCUGUGACAACCUGGAGAUCAUCACCAGCCUCCUGGGGUCCCAUCUGACCCCAGCUGUGAUGCCGUCUGCACGGCACCCUCCAUCAUCCCUAACGCAGACACCCCCAACUGAGCCUACAGACGAGGACACGCCUGACGCCGGCCCCAGGAGAACAUACUGACCUAAAAGAGGAGGCAGAAGUGGACGCUCUCGUCUCCUGCUGUG